GCAGAGAGGCUCCCUGACCCCACUGGAGGCAGCAGCCCCUAUCACUUGUCCCCUUUUGCAUCAAAGCACUAUUGGACAGCAGGGCCUGGUGCACAGUAACCUCUCAUGAAAUGUUUGUUGAGCAAAUGAAUCUGAAGAGAAAGACAUUAGAACAUAAAGCCAGGUCUCCUGGCCACCUGUCCCCGCCAUAGCCCUGCCUCUCUAGCCGACUCAUCUUGGACGACUGAGGGAGAAAGGUUUAGGGCAAACCAGGAGCAGAGAGCUUCCUGGAGCCUGUUGCUGGGUUAGCAGUCCAACUCUCUAUCCCAUUUCUGGGCAGCUUAGCAACAGAAGGGGAGGUUCUGAGAAGAGCCUGAUGAGAGGUCUGGAGCCUGGCUGCGAGUCAGCCCGCCGGGCUGGGCUCGCUGUCUGUCCCAGGGCUGCCCUUCCACCCCCGCCCUCCCCUCUACUUCUUGGCACCCGUACUUUCAUUUCAGUUCUCUCCCUCAUCUUCUGUUUUAUGUUUUUGGCCACAGAGGAUGCAGAUUUAAAUCAAAAGUCAGAAGUUUAGAUCAUUUUGAAGAGCUGCUGAUGAGCGGUCUCGCCUUGCCAUUUGUUUUAUUAGACUGCCGCCUGCCCUUUCCUCCGUGGUCUAAAAGCUCUGUGCAGCUGGGAAGAGUGAUGGCGCUGCCAGGGCGCUGCCCAGAGGCCCAGGGCUUGCUGAUGACAUUGCAUUAUGGAAAAGCUGUAAUAACAUUCCACUCUUUAGCCUCCUCUUUAAUCACACAGGGGACACCAAAGGGUCGGGGACGGGGUGAUGACAGUCUCCCAGGCUGCCCUGUUCCUCUGCUGACUCUGGUGGUGGUGGUGGCAAUAGAUGAGAAGGAGAGGUCAGGCCAGGAGCAGGCUGCUUCAUUGGGGGGUGGGCAAUGACCCCUGUUUGCUCUUCCACGUCACUUGUCUUAAGGACAGGUGUAAGAUUCCCAUGGGACUGAUGAGGGGCUGAAGGGGGAGACUCCAAGCCCAUCUCCCCGCACUCCCCAGCUCACUGCCUGUCAGAGGACACAGCCAGAGGGAGGAUCUGGUCAGAACCUGCAGCCCCCUCAUGCUCACUGUGUAUUUCUCUCUUUCCCCUCCUGAAGCCAGGUGUCAUAUUGACAUAAGGAUUAUGGAGACACGUUAUUGCAGAGGCUGACUAGGUUCUCAUCAAACCCAUUUCCUCUUUCCAGGCCCGUCAUUACCUUCCAUGUCAGCCCCUUGACAUCUGGGGACGGGCCACAUGACUAAUUCUUGCUCGUAGGGCGUGGGUGUGCCUUAUCCAUGCUGUCUAACUUUUACGUGUCACCAGCAGCUGUCAGGACGGCGUGGCCUCUGAAGAUGGAAGGAGUCAGGCUCCUGGUGACAGUGUGGGAGGAGAGCUACCCAGUGUGGGUAAGGGAGGCCGCCAUCAGGCUCCUACAGUCUCCUGGGCAAGAGGCAGCAGCAGGAAGAAGGUCCAGAGGCCCUUUCUAGUUCUCUGGUUCAUUGUCAUCUCCCUCGGUGCCCAUGCACACCCUCCCCCUGUGGCCCCCAGGUCAUUCCCUGUCGCCAUGCUUGUCGAUCCACCUGGAACACCUGCCCUCCUUCAUCAUCGUUAGACCUGACUCCCUUUCUAGGCACAGCCUAGCACCACUUCCGGGACAUGCCAUGCCGCCCUCCCUGUGUCUGCUCUGCUGGGUGGCACUGUGCACAUCUGAUCACAUGGCCCCCCCUGCCCUAUUAAAGCACCUAUGAUA